CGUGCGAGUAGUUGAAAAGAGUGGAUCAGAGCAUAAAUUAGAAGUGCUAAGCAGAUUAUUUGGGCUCAAAUCUGUGUAGUUGCCUAAGACUCCGCCUCCCCUGUUUAGCAAAGGUGAGGCAUUUGUGGUUGUAGUAGUAGUUGCCUGAUUCUCAAGGAACCCAAUUUCGCCCAAAUCAAAAUCAUGCUCUAAAGGGUUAGAGACUACGUUAAGGAGUGAAGAUAAGGUAGGCUUUGAGUGCAUAAAAUAGUGCACCUGAGAUGGGUCUAGAUUGUUGAAAACAGAGGAGUUUGGUGAGCAAGAAGAGGAGGAAUCCACAGGGUGAAGCAACAGAUUAUCAGGGUCAGUAAGAUUUGGUGAAAAUGUGAUAUCUCUGAUGGUAUCUUGAUGAUUGUGGAUAGUACUAUUUGUAACGUACCAGUCUUCUUCUACUUCGAGCAUGGAUUUGAAGGUAGAAAGGGAACCCAUCUCUUCCUUGCUCUCCAUCACAUCACAGCUAUUGCUAAUGUUAUUGUUGUUUGCGGUGGAUUCUUGCGCUUCUUUAUCUUCCGUCCAGACACUGCCAUUUAGUCCAGAGAGCAUUUUCGUUUCUGGAUUUCUGUUAUAUUUUCUCUGGAAAGUGAGGGAAGUAAAACAAAUUGUAGAGAAAAAGAUGAGAUAAAGAGUAGGAUUGAAGGAGAGAGAGAGAGUGGACGUUGCAGGAGGGAAAGGGAAAUGGCUUUCUGUUG
rnacentral:misc_RNA from 1 species